UAGCUGCGCUGUGCGCUGCGCAGUUCAUGAGUUCACAUCAAAAUGGCGCUCGCUCACUCGCUGUGCGUAGAACGUAGUACUUGUGUAAACGUGUAAAUAAAUUGGAGAUAGCAUACAAGAAAACAGAAAGGGUUCGCGGUUCACCUUUUUUGUAACGGUUUCCUCGGCGUCCUUUACAAAGUCCAGUUGAUAUCGUGUCCUGUCCACGUCCAGGGUGGAUCAGACCUGAUCUACAAAAUCUUGGAGCAGCCGCUUUCGUCGUAUGCCAUUAAAAAAAUUAAAACAUGCCCGUUAUUAAAAUUUGGUCAGUAGACCAAACAAUCAAGAAAGCUGUUCCAAUAAUGGACCCAACUUUAAAAAAUAUCAUUGAAAAAGGUGAGUAAAUCUAAAUUAAUUUGACUUUUCGUAAUGAAAUAUUUUUUGUGUAAUUGUAGAAUGUAGUGUAUUGUAGAAUAGACUAUAAUUGGAUACCUACUGUUAAGCAUUAAUGUGCUGACUCAAACCACAUUUAUUUUGCAGUAUGAUGUCAAUUUAAAAAUUUGACGCUUGAAGUUGACAAGAUAGAGCUGAUGCUGAACCCUGGCUGUACCUAGUGGAACUCAGGUUUGGUGCAACAUAGGCCCACGCUAUUUUGAUCAUCCGUCACAUAGAGGGAGAGCAAUACCCAAGAUAUAAUUCAUAAUCCAUUUUCUUCCAGAUGAGGUACCAUCCUAAAUAUAGUAGUUCCAUUUACUAAUCUUAUUAACUUUUUCUUUUCCAGGAACCAUUAACCAGGGUUCAAGUUGCAGAGCUAUCCGAAAUAGCUGCGCCUAACAUUGUAUUUUUAGAUAAUGAAAAUAUAAUUAUAUUACUUGCUGGUAGAAAAAACGAUUGUUAGCGAAACAGAUUCUGCCUACGUCGUUACAACUAUUGAUGGCGGCUUACUGCAACUUGAAUAUGGAAUAUCCAGUGGACUGUCAAAACACAUUAGAAUUUAUACAAAGGUAUAUUUUUAUUAAAAUAAAUCCUAAAGAAGGAAGUCAUAAGUAAUAGUUUUUGAUUUUUAAAAAGCGUUUUUCAAUUAAAAGACAUGUCAAGAUCGCUUAACUUCUUGCAAGUUCUUUCUAAUGCUAAAAAAACUAACUAUAAUUAAUGUCAGUAACAAACAUUUUCAGACAAUUCGUUACUUGAAAUGGUAUAGGUUUCACGCAUUAGAUUCACAUAGGCCUUAUUAACCGAAACUUUUAUAAGACUAAUUCAUAAGAAGUACUUAUGUACAUAAGAUAUAAUUUAUAGUGUCGUAUAUGUCUUCUACUUUUUGUACUCUGUCACAGAAUAAAUAAUAAUAAUAUGCACGUAGACGUGUAUAUACGCGUGUGCUCUAUAAUUUGAGUGUGUGAAAUUCAAUAAAUUUAUUUCUUUGUAA